GGGGCAUCGUAGUGUGGGGUGGAGGGGAGGAAAGAAGAGUUAAAGAAACAGAGUACAUUUCCAACGACACAUGCAUAAGCUUCUAAAGCUUAAAGAGGCAUCUAUAAUCCAAACAAGACAUCUCUUUUUCUUCCUCAUCUCCCCCUCCCUCCAUUUACUGACACUUCUCCCAGAAGACACAGUUCUUGCCUCUAAAAGAACUUACUGUGUGAAGGAAAGAAAACACAGACAGUAAAUAAAUAAGUGGCAGCUGGUAAUUUAGGGAACACGUUGGUAUUAUAGGCGUUCAGAGAAAUAACCAUCAGGAAAGGCUUCUUGAAGGAACUGCUAGGCAUGUGUGCGGAUCCUGCUCCCGUGACAUGUGUUAAUUAUAGGUUGUCUGUCAAUCCCCAGUGACACAGAAGGGAGUUUCCCUUCCUUUCCUACCCCAGAGGGCUCCUUUCUCCUACUAUCUCCUGAAAGGCAGGAAGUCCUUCUGUGGCCACGUCCACCAUCUCAGUAGCAAAGCUUAGCUCCUCAGCUUACCUGGAGGUAACAGGCAACAACUCAGCUCCCCGGCUUACCUGAGGGCCAGCAGGGCUUUCAGGGACCGAGUAGGAUGCUGAAGCAUCUCUGUACCUUCCUCUCAAGGGAAAGGGAGGAGGAUGGAGCACAGGAAGCUACCCUCCUCUCUGGGCUUAGGCACUCCAAAAGGGGGAGCAGUAGGGAGGAUAAGUCCAGAGAAUGCUGCUAAUAAUCACAAUAGUAACAUGUGCCCAGCAUUUACUGUGUAUGGAACUCUUCAAAGCAACUGACAUGGGUUAUUAACCCAAGUGAUCCUCACGACAGCCCCGUGAGGAAGUCCUAUUAAUAUUCCCAUUUUACAGAUGAGGUACAGAAAAGCUAAAGAACUUUCCUAAGAUCACACAGCUACUUAACCGGCAUCGUUUGGACUGGAGCCCAGUCUCAGCUAGACUCCAGCACCUCUGCUCCUAAAGUGGCUCGCAACUCAGGCUGCACUUGGAGAGCUGUUAAACGAGUGCUCGCUCUGGGGAAAACUAGCUGCUAUACCACAAGAACACUCAAACAGCCCCAUGGAGUGGACCUAAUGGCAAGAAACUGUGGAUUCCUGCCAAUGAGCAGCGAAAAACUGAGGCCUUCUGAAGCAAAUAACUCUUCAGUGAGUGAAACUGGGAGUGAAUCUUCCAACCCCAGGGAACCCUCAAAAUGACUGCAGCCCCAGUUGACAUCUUGAAUGCCAACUCAUGAGAGACCCUGUGCUGGAACUAUCAUGCUAAAUUGCUUCCAGAUUCCUGACUCUCAGAAGCUGUGAGAUAAUAAAUGCUCGUUGCUUUGUGCUGA